UUAUAUUUUAUUUAUUAAUUAAUUUUUUUUUUAUUAUAAAUUAUUAAAAGUAAUUAUUUUAUGAAUUGUUUAAGUAUUUUAUAAAGAAAAAAUAAUUUUAAUUAUAGUUAAAUAGUAUUGUGAAAGAAAAUUGAAAUAAAUUGAAAAAUUAAUAUUGUAAAAGAAAAUUUAAUUUGUUGUACCUUGUGUAUCAGGGUUUAUUAAAUAAAAAUUAUUUAUAAUAAUUUUCUCGAUUUUAAAAGAGUUAAUAUAUUAUAAAAGUUAAUGUAGUAAAAUUAUUUUGUAUAAUAUAUUAGAAAUGAAAUGUUAUUCGUUUUUAAAGGUAUCUAGUUCUUUAAGAAAUAAAUUUAAUUUAGGAAUUUUAUAUUAUUUAAUUAAAUAGAUUAAUUAAAUAAUUAUUUAAUUUUAAUAUUUUAUGGGAUAAGCUAUAAAAUAAAUUAUUAAAAAUUAUUAGAUAAUUUAAUAAAUAUAAGCUUAGAAAUAGCUAUUAUAAAUGAAAUUGUUAUAAAUUAUUUUUUAAAUAGGAUUAUUUAUUAAAUUUUAAUUAUUUAUUAAAGUAUUUAUUUUAAUUAUAAAAAUGAAAAAAUAAUGAUAAAAUUAGUAUAUUAUAUUGUAUAAGUUUGAUUAAUUGAUAAGUUUUUAUAAAGAAUUCGGCAAAAAUAAUGUUCGCCUGUUUAACAAAAACAUGUCUUUUUGAAUUUUUUUUUAAGUCUAACCUGCCCACUGAAUAAUUUAAAUGGCCGCAGUAUAUUAACUGUGCAAAGGUAGCAUAAUCAUUAGUCUUUUAAUUGGAGGCUGGUAUGAAUGGUUGGACGAGAUAUUAACUGUUUCAUAAAAAUUUAUAAUAAAAUUUUAUUUUUUAGUUAAAAAGCUAAAAUAAAAUUGAAAGACGAGAAGACCCUAUAAAUCUUUAUAUAUAAAAAUUAUUAGAAUUUUGUAGAUUUUUUUUAUUAUAAUAAUUAAUUAUAUUUUAUUGGGGUGAUAUUAAAAUUUAAUAAACUUUUAAUUUUUAAAAUCAUUAAUUUAUGAAUAAUUGAUCCAUUAGUAGUGAUUAAAAAAAUAAGUUACUUUAGGGAUAACAGCGUAAUUUUUUUGGAGAGUUCUUAUCUAUAAAAAAGAUUGCGACCUCGAUGUUGGAUUAAGAUAUAAUUUUAGGUGUAGCCGCUUAAAUUUUAAGUCUGUUCGACUUUUAAAUUCUUACAUGAUCUGAGUUCAAACCGGCGUAAGCCAGGUUGGUUUCUAUCUUUAAUAAAUUAAAAUAUUUUAGUACGAAAGGACCUAAUAUUAGAUAAAUUAUUAUUUUUAUAUUGAAUAUAAUUAAUUUAU
rnacentral:rRNA from 1 species